rnacentral:rRNA from 1 species
GAUCCUGGCUCAGGAUGAACGCUAGCGGCAGGCCUAACACAUGCAAGUCGAGGGGCAGCACGGUGUAGCAAUACACUGGUGGCGACCGGCGCACGGGUGCGUAACGCGUAUGCAACCUACCCAUAACAGGGGGAUAACACUGAGAAAUUGGUACUAAUACCCCAUAACAUCAGGACCGGCAUCGGUUCUGGUUGAAAACUCCGGUGGUUAUGGAUGGGCAUGCGUUGUAUUAGCUGGUUAAAGG